CUGAAUUUGAAUUCACUAGUAAUAUAGUUUCAAGCUAUUUGUAAUGCUGAUCAAAACAAAUAAUCUUGACGAGUUAUUUUAUUUCAUUUCUUAGUAUGUAAUCAACAAUAUAAAGUAAUUCAGAUAAGUUCGGAAGCCCAGGCCAAGUCUAUGGUGUACCAAUAUCUUAGACAUCCCUCGCAUGAAAUUGACGGACACCCCGCUCUCCAUGCGCUGGUUCUCCCGGUUUUGUUUCAAUUUCUUUCAUUUGCCUUUGAUGGAGUUCACCUUGUUUACCUUGUUUUGUUCAUAUCAAAAGAAUAGUUUCUGGAAUAUAUGAUUUAAAUAUCUUCAAAAUGAGAUAAGAUCUUUAUAUAACAAGGAUACAUACAAUGUACAUACAAUGUAUAUACCAAAGAUUACUCAGGUUACCCAGCUCACCUAAGAUUACCCAUGAAAGCCCAAAAGGUUAUUUCCGGCGGGGUCCUUUCAAUACAUGGAUGUUGGCAUUAGGGGUAAUUAUUUUAGAGGAAACCUACAUUUUCGUGUUGGACACCACUACAUCUUCUCAUAUUAUCACCACUAUCGAUCAUGGUGAGAAGCGAGGGGCACUACCUCUGCACUACCAAAACAGAAUGUGAUUUUUAAAUGAGUGUAUAUGAUGAAAGUCAUAAUAUAUAGGAAAUACGAAAAUUUUCUUGUGAUAAAAACUGUAUGUCUAAAAAAUGGACCAUUUUUUCUUAAAGAGGAAUAGUAUUGCUGAAAGGUGAAGAUAACGAAAAGUGAUCAACCUCACAACUUCAGUAAGCAAUACAAAAUAAAGUGUUGGGCAAACACGGACCCCUGGACAUAUCAGAGGCGAGAUCAGGUGCCUAAGAGGAGUAAGAAUCCCGUGUCGACUGGUCACAUCCACCGUGAGCCCUAUAUCCUUAUCAGGAUUCUCAGUCGCACCAAUUUCCACCUCACUUUCCAUGAUGUCAGGAGCUUCGUCGGGGGAUAUCCCACAUCUGAGCCAUGUCUGAAACAUGAACAUCCAUGAAUUAUCAAUUUUGUGUGUAUAUAUUUUGCACUUUAAAUGAUUAUAAGUGUUUGUCAUUAAAUAUGGUUUUAAUAGAUAAGAUGUAAAGUGACGUUUAAUAA